UCCACAUCUGAUCUUGUCAAUACUGACUGAAAGAAUUUAAAUGAGUUGACCAUCUGAUCUUGGUAAGAUAUAGGAUUUCCCACUAAAUCAUUCACAACUUCUUUCCAUCAGAACUGAAGUGUGCUACCAGCUCUUGACUAAGUUUUCACGUAAAAGUGAUGAUAAUGAUAACGGCAACAGUGAUUACUCAAAUUCAUAGUAGGUCGUUGGAGUGGCUGAUCCCAGGAAAUUUGCACGAGAGAAACUUCAGAAGCAACACAGAGUAGCAGAUGAAAACGUGUUUGCUGGUGUGAGUGUUAAGUCAAUGUCAGCCGACACCCAUUUUUUCCCUCUCCCUUAUUUGGUAGCACCUCAUUUGAACUAUACUUCAUAACCAAUGUCAUAUUGCCAUAAGCUUGACAUAACAAUUUCCUUAAGCUAUCAUGGUGUCUUAUGUCACUGAAUGUCAAGUACAAGCAAGUGUAUUUUGCAUGCAUAAUAUGACUUAACACCUGUCUUAACAGUUUGCAAUUAAUGCUACUGAUUAUAUUCCUCUUUCCCAGAUUGGCAUGGUAUAGUAGCAAGAGAGAAGUUUGUGGAUGCUGUGUUCAUUUGUACCCCAGACCGUCGUCAUAACCAUAUAGUAGAAGAGGAUACAUGUUACUGAAUCAAUCAAAUUUGCUAGCUAUGUCACAGAAUCUGAUCAACCAUUUCAACAGAACUAUUUUAGGAUGCACAGGGCUACUCCAAAACGUUUUUUGUCCUUUGAUGCUACAGUGUCAAAAAGGAGAAUGACACUCAUGUUAACAUUGAGAAUCCAUGAUUGCUGUUCUAGGAUAGUGUGUUUUGUCUUUUUGUCCAGGACCCUGCCAUAGCACUGGCAAAGAAAGGCUGCCAUAUUCUUCUGGAGAAGCCCAUGGCUGAAAACAUGACUGACAAAAGCAUCCUACUCCCACAGCCCCAGUUUUCCAGCCUUACAUCCAACUCUCCCGAGGCAGCUGAUGUCCAUGCUUUACAUUUGAUUCCCACUUUUGGAUUUAAUAGAAAGAGAUUGGAUUGGACACACACCAACUGCAAUAGUUUAUUGACGUAACCUGAAUUUCUGUGUCAUGGUUUAUGAACUUUCUCCAGAAUAUUUAUCCUUAUAAAUAAUCAUCUGUAUUUGCAGUACCAGUAAAGCUAGAGCCAGAUGUAAAGUGCAUUCGGAAAGUAUUCAGACCCCUGCACUUUUUACAGCCUUAAUAGUUACAGCCUUAUUCUAAAAUGGAUUAAAUAUUUGUUUCCUUCAUCAAUCUACAAACAAUACCCCAUAAUGACAAAGAGAAAACAGGUUUUUAUAAAUUGUAAUAAUAAAAACUGAAAUACCUUAUUUACAUAAGUAUUCAGACCCUUUGCUAUGAAAUGUGAAAUUGAGCUCGGGUGCAUCCUGUUUCCAUUUAUCAUCCUUGAGAUGUUUCUACAACUUGAUUGGAGUCCACCUGUGGUAAAUUCAAUUGUUUGGACAUGAUUUGGAAAGGCACCCACAUCUCUAUGUAAGGUCCCACAGUUGAUAGUGCAUGUCAGAGCAAAAACCAAGCCAUGAGGUCGAAGGAAUUGUCCGUAAAGCUCUGAGACAGGUGUGUGUCUAGGCAAAGAUCUGGGGAAGGGUACCAAAAACCUUCUGCUGCAU
rnacentral:lncRNA from 8 species